rnacentral:rRNA from 1 species
GCAUAUCAAUAAGCGAGGAAAAGAAACUAACAAGGAUUCCCCUAGUAACGGCGAGUGAAGCGGGAUGAGCUCAAAUUUAAAAUCUGGCUGGUUUACUAGUCCGAAUUGUAGUUUAUAGAAGCGUUUUCGGUGGCAGCCUGGGUAUAAAUCCUUUGGAAUAGGGUAUCAUAGAGGGUGAGAAUCCCGUCUUUGACUCAGUGCAUGCUACUAUGUGAUACGUUUUCAAAGAGUCGAGUUGUUUGGGAAUGCAGCUCAAAAUGGGUGGUAAAUUUCAUCUAAAGCUAAAUAUUGGCGAGAGACCGAUAGCGAACAAGUACCGUGAGGGAAAGAUGAAAAGAACUUUGAAAAGAGAGUUAAACAGUGCGUGAAAUUGUUGAAAGGGAAACGCUUGACACCAGUCAUGCGAGUGGAAAAUCAGUCUUUUGCAAUGGGGAGUUGUGGGCGUUCAGACCGCAAGGCUGGCGUUUGCUUCAUCUUUGUUGUAAGUGAUGCACUUUUUCAUUUGCAGGUCAACAUCAGUUUGCUUUGCUGGACAAAACCCCAAGGGAAGGUGGCAGCUUAGGCUGUGUUAUAGCCCUGGGGCGAUACAGUGGAGUGGACUGAGGUUUUCGCAGUGUGUGCUCUCUGGGCAAGGCUGACUGGGUGCUAUGGGAUCGUUCGGCGUACAAUGCAUGCAUUUUGCGUCGUGUCUUUUUCAUACUCGCUCAACUCGGCUCUUCCACACUUAGGAUGUUGACUUAAUGGUUUUAAUCGACCCGUCUUGAAACACGGACCAAGGAGUCUAACAUAUAUGCAAGUGUUUGGGUGGCAAACCCAUGCGCGUAAUGAAAGUGAACGUAGGUGCCAUCCGCAAGGUGCAGCAUCGACCGAUCUUGAUAUUUUUGGAUAGAUUUGAGUAAGAGCAUAUAUGCUGGGACCCGAAAGAUGGUGAACUAUGCCUGAAUAGGGUGAAGCCAGAGGAAACUCUGGUGGAGGCUCGUAGCGAUUCUGACGUGCAAAUCGAUCGUCAAAUUUGGGUAUAGGGGCGAAAGACUAAUCGAACAUCUAGUAGCUGGUCUGC